UUUCACGAUAGUUCUGAGAAAACAUCAGAGAAACAACAACAACCAAAAAAUUGCCUUAUUCUCUCGGAACAACAACAACAACACGAAUCUCUCUCGGUUUCUCUCUUCUCACGGUGAACAACAACAGAACUUACUGAGUUUCAACCAUGGUGAUUUUUCAUCUUUAUCAUCACUUCUCUCGCAAAUGUCAACAACAAUUUUUCACUCGGUGCUUUGUAAACAAACAACAACUCCCUCCCUAACGGUUUUCUUCUACCGCGGCCAUGGGAGGAGCUUUGUUUGAAACUCAACCAAUCAAGAACAACAUUAACUUGUAACCCGAUUUCACAAACAGAAGUGAAAAUCCAGAAUAUACACGACAAUAACUAACAGCAAUAUUGAGCGUGAAAGUGGAAGUGACUUACUUACGGCAAGGAGGUGUUCGCCGGAUUCUAUCGAGAUGUAACAAUGGUUAGUGUAAAUAUUGAGAGUGAAGGAAGAGAGACUUACCUGCGGCGAGUUGUGCUUUUGCAAGUGAGAACUGAAUGAUUGCAGCAUCGGUGUUUGAAUCAGCUGCAGGGUGUUGACGGCUCAUCUAUGGAGGCUCGAAGAUGAGAGCCAUCUUUGAAGAGCUGCCAGCAAACAAUAGAGGUAUGAAGACUUCUCUUCUCCCUCUAACUUUUGUAUUUUUUUCUGAAAAAUGUAACUUAGUAGAAGUUACAGAAUUCUUGCUGUGUUCUCCCCACUUUUCUUCUUUUUUUUUAAUUUGUGUGUCUCUCCUCUAUUUAUAGAGGAAAAAGUGAGGGAUAAUUUUGGUCAUUUUUGCACCCAAGCUUAGUCAUUAAGCUCACUUAGUUGUUAAGUUGUCAUCAUGACAAAGAAUAUUCUUUCCCAAAAUGAUCAUUGCAAAAUUUCUUACAUGCUAAGUUUGCUUAAUGGCAAAGCUCCACAAGAAAAUGCACAUGGGAUAGAAUAUUAUGCACAUGUCUUGCAAGUGAAAGUUCCACGACAUAGUCUUGUCUUUAUGUCAUGAAAUUGGUAGUCUCUAAGUAUAGCACUUAUGACAUAAUAUA